GCCAGCAGCAACUCUGCAAUUCAUAACUGGCAACCCACUGAAGCUAAGCAUGUCUGAGCCUGGCCAGUACUUGGAUGGGAAACCUCUUGGGAAAAACUAAGGUUGCUGCUGGAA
rnacentral:rRNA from 1 species